rnacentral:lncRNA from 1 species
UACAAAUAGAUAAAAUCCUAGCCCAAAAACUUUCAUGGCUAACCCAGUGUGAUUGCACUCAACUCAAGCCCAUCUACACCCAUAACUCGAUAUGCUCUCAUCCCUUUGAAAGCAAAUCUAGCUCAAACAUAGAUUAACCCAUUCAAGAUCCAAAUCUACUAGGCCUCAAGACCCUCAAGGCCCUAAUUCCUGGGCAGCA